rnacentral:lncRNA from 10 species
GUGAGGGGGCUGCGCACUUCUGGAUCGGCCCCACACACUCGGCCCCUGGCGCGGCGCGCUCCCCGCACACGCGCCCGCCCCCUCCCCGCGGUCACACGCACGCGCCCUCGCCCUCGCCCCGCGCGCACAGGCGCGUACUCCCACCCGCGGCCGUGCACCCGCCGCGCUCCUUCCCGCGCGUGUCCUCUCUCCCCGAGCGGCCGCCAGGAUGUGCCCCCGGCCCCGUCGUCGCCGCGCCCGCGCCCCUCGCCCCAGAUUAAGGAGUUUGGGGAAGUCGCAGAGCUGCAGCGGAAAGGCAGGGGUCUGAGACUACUUUUGAGAAGAGAAACAACGCAAAACGAUCGCUGGAGGGCCAGAGCCCUGGUCGAAGGUGCCCUAGCUUUUAUGACCUGGUUAAUUGUGUCUCCUUUUUAUUUUUAUUUUUUUCCUUACCACUACUACUACUACUACUUUUAUUUUUUUUUAACCGAUACACUUUGGAGAGAAGAAGCAGACACAGGUUCCCACGGCGUCUGACGCCUGCGGAGCAAGUCCAGAGCCAGCUGGACUCGCAGCCUCUGGCCCGGCGGCACCAACUCCUCACUGGGUCAUUUUGAGCGCGCUGUGCCCACCUUUUCUGUUGCGUGUGGACGUGGGGAGGAUCUUCUAAGUCCCUCCAACGAAGGCAAGUGUGAGACUCUGGCCCUUUAUUUGUAAGAAGCAAGCCUUCAGAUUGCAGAAGUGUCGCGCGGGUCGCCGUGCGUUGCGCGAGUGGGAAGAUGGAGGAGGCCGGCACGCUGCUUUCGUGGACGCAAGUGAACCGGGCGUGAAGGCAGGGUGCGAGCUCUGCCCUUGGCCCAGCCCUGCGUGGGCGCCGUCCCAGAUUCCGGGCGGUGCGGGGUGCAGAGAUCUGGAGAGACUUGCGGGCUCCCCAGCGCAGGCUGCUCUGGGAUUUCGUUGGAAGAUCCGGCAGAGCCUUGGAGGAGAGGGCCCGGGAGGCUGUGUGUGCAGCGGAAACUUGUACGAAUGCCCCCACAGCGGAAAUGGUGCGCACGAGUAAUUUCUGCGGUGCACCCUUUUAAAAAUUGACAAGUGAACAAGAUCAAUUUUUUAAGAAAGCAAAGGUAGAAAACAAAAGGCGUGCGACUUCUUGACUGGCUUGUUCCCGCCUUUCUUCCUUCUCUAUACUCAGAUCAGAAACUUUUCUUUAAUUGCUCUUAUUCAGUGCGACAACUUUUAAUAAAAGCAUUUGCAUUUUAAGCCUGAGUUGCAACCAUAGAUUUAUUGCGAAGUGACAACGUGUCUAUGGAAUAUUUUCGCAGAUGAGACAGGACAUGCGCUCUAGUCGUGCCCAGAUUAAAGCGACGCUGGGCCAUGUGCCUGUGUAGUGCAGACUCGGAGGGGCACACACAUACUCGUCACCACAUGACCACUGUCUAUUAAUAUUGUCAUACCUAAACACUCGCAAAAACAAAAGUUGCUUUUCUUCCCUGUAAUUAAAUCUAAUUUG